GAUCUAAAAUAAAAUAAAACUGGAAAGCAGACUAGACUUUUCAAAGUUUUUGGAGUUCAUGUAGAAGCAAAAUGUGUGCGAAGAUAUUUUACUUGACGGGGAGUUCAAAAGAAAAAGUAUUUUUUUUUUAAAUAUUUGCGAUUUAAAACAACAAGUAUGGCAUUAUAAUUUUAAUUUGGAGUUCGUAGCCUCAGAUCUUUCAACAAUUUAUUUAUUUAUGAAAGAAA
rnacentral:misc_RNA from 1 species